rnacentral:rRNA from 1 species
AUGAACGCUGGCGGCGUGCCUAAUACAUGCCAGUCGCGCGAACAGACGAGGAGCUUGCUCCUCUGACGUUAGCGGCGGACGGGUGAGUAACACGUGGAUAACCUACCUAUAAGACUGGGAUAACUUCGGGAAACCGGAGCUAAUACCGGAUAAUAUAUUGUACCGCAUGGUUCAAUAGUGAAAGACGGUUUUGCUGUCACUUAUAGAUGGAUCCGCGCCGCAUUAGCUAGUUGGUAAGGUAACGGCUUACCAAGGCAACGAUGCGUAGCCGACCUGAGAGGGGAUUGGGCCAAACUGGAACGAGACACGGUCCAAAACCCCAAGGGAGGGCAGAAUUAGGAAUUUUUCCGAAAGGGGGGAAAGCCGAACGGGGAACGGCCGGGGGGGUGAUAAAGGUUUUCGGAUGGAAAAACCCUGUUAUUGGGAAAAAAAAAAUGUGUAAGUAAUGAUGCACGUUUUGACGGACCCAAACAAAAAAGCCACGGCUAACUCGGU